rnacentral:rRNA from 1 species
GUUUGAUCCUGGCUCAGAACGAACGCUGGCGGCGUGCCUAACACAUGCAAGUCGAACGGAGGUUACGAGGAAGCUUGCGAAUUGUAACCUUAGUGGCGGACGGGUGAGUAACGCGUGGAUAACCUGCCUGACAGACCGGGACAACACCGGGAAACUGGUGCUAAUACCGGAUACGCUCAAGAGUGCCCAUGCACACUUGAGGAAAGGAGCAAUCCGCUGACAGAUGGGUCCGCGUCCCAUUAGCUAGUUGGAGGUGUAAAGGACCACCAAGGCGACGAUGGGUAGCCGGCCUGAGAGGGUGGACGGCCACACUGGAACUGAGACACGGUCCAGACUCCUACGGGAGGCAGCAGUGGGGAAUCUUCCGCAAUGGGCGAAAGCCUGACGGAGCAACGCCGCGUGAGUGAUUAAGGCCUUCGGGUUGUAAAACUCUGUCAUCAGGGAAGAAAAUAAUGACGGUACCUGAGGAGGAAGCCCCGGCUAACUACGUGCCAGCAGCCGCGGUAAAACGUAGGGGGCGAGCGUUGUCCGGAAUUACUGGGCGUAAAGGGCGCGUAGGCGGUUGUCCAAGUCAGAGGUGAAAACUCUGGGCUCAACUCAGAGCGUGCCUCUGAAACUGGGCGACUUGAGGGCAGGAGAGGGGAGUGGAAUUCCCAGUGUAGCGGUGAAAUGCGUAGAUAUUGGGAGGAACACCAGUGGCGAAGGCGACUCUCUGGCCUGUUUCUGACGCUGAGGCGCGAAAGCGUGGGGAGCGAACGGGAUUAGAUACCCCGGUAGUCCACGCCGUAAACGAUGGGAAAUAGGUGUAGGAGGUAUCGACCCCUUCUGUGCCGUAGCUAACGCAAUAAGCACCCCCGCCCUGGGGAGACGGCCCCAAGG